AUUGAACGCUGGCGGCAGGCCUAACACAUGCAAGUCGAACGGUAACAGGAAGCAGCUUGCUGCUUCGCUGACGAGUGGCGGACGGGUGAGUAAUGUCUGGGAAGCUGCCUGAUGGAGGGGGAUAACUACUGGAAACGGUAGCUAAUACCGCAUAAUGUCGCAAGACCAAAGAGGGGGACCUUCGGGCCUCUUGCCAUCGGAUGUGCCCAGAUGGGAUUAGCUUGUUGGUGGGGUAACGGCUCACCAAGGCGACGAUCCCUAGCUGGUCUGAGAGGAUGACCAGCCACCCUGGAACUGAGACACGGUCCAGACUCCUACGGGAGGCAGCAGUGGGGAACAUUGCACAAUGGGCGCAAGCCUGAUGCAGCCAUGCCGCGUGUAUGAAGAAGGCCUUCGGGUUGUAAAGUACUUUCAGCGGGGAGGAAGGGAGUAAAGUUAAUACCUUUGCUCAUUGACGUUACCCGCAGAAGAAGCACCGGCUAACUCCGUG
rnacentral:rRNA from 1 species